UACGGAGGGUGCGAGCGUUGUCCGGAAUCACUGGGCGUAAAGGGCGCGUAGGCGGCCUGAUAAGUAGGGGGUGAAAUCCUGCGGCUUAACCGCAGGGCUGCCUUCUAAACUGUCAGGCUCGAGCACAGUAGAGGCAGGUGGAAUUCCCGGUGUAGCGGUGGAAUGCGUAGAGAUCGGGAGGAACAUCAGUGGCGAAGGCAGCCCCCUGGGUCAAGAUUGACGCUCAUGCACGAAAGCGUGGGGAGCAAACAGG
rnacentral:rRNA from 1 species